rnacentral:rRNA from 1 species
AUACGUAGGGAGCGAGCGUUGUCCGGAAUUACUGGGUGUAAAGGGAGCGUAGGCGGGAUGGCAAGUCAGAUGUGAAAACUAUGGGCUCAACCCAUAGACUGCAUAUGUAACUGUUGUUCUUGAGUGAAGUAGAGGUAAGCGGAAUUCCUGGUGUAGCGGUGAAAUGCGUAGAUAUCAGGAGGAACAUCGGUGGCGAUGGCGGGUUACUGGGCUUUUACGGACGCGGAGGCUCGAAAGCGUUUGUAGCAAACAGGAUUAGAUACCCUGGUAGUCCACGCUGUAAACGAUGAUUACUAGGUGUGGGGGGACUGACCCCUUCCGUGCAGCAGUUAACACAAUAAGUAAUCCACCUGGGGAGUACGGCCGCAAGGUUGAAACUCAAAUGAAUUGACAGGG